CAGCUCCGACAACAACCACUACAACUACCACUCCCAGUACUACCACAAGUAUUGACCCAGAAUGUAAGGACAGCCAGGGCUCUAACGGUCAGUACGGUCAGUGCGCGCACGUGGACAGCUGUCCUCACGGCUACUAUAUAACCGGCAAGUGUCCGGACUACGGAAACGACAUCAAGUGUUGCUAUAACUGUCACCUGGGCGGGUGUUCACUUUCUGCUCCCACAACAACUUCAGCAGCUCCAACGACAACCACUACGACCACCACCCCCAGUACUACUACAAGUAUUGACCCAGACUGCAAGGACAGCCAGGGCUCUAACGGUCAGUACGGUCAGUGUGCGCACGUGGACAGCUGUCCUCACGGCUACUAUAUAACCGGCAAAUGUCCGGACUACGGAAACGACAUCAAGUGUUGCUAUAACUGUCACCUGGGCGGCUGUUCACUUUCUGCACCCACAACAACUU